rnacentral:rRNA from 1 species
AACGAACGCUGGCGGCAUGCCUAACACAUGCAAGUCGAACGAGACCUUCGGGUCUAGUGGCGCACGGGUGCGUAACGCGUGGGAACCUGCCCUUAGGUUCGGAAUAACUCAGAGAAAUUUGAGCUAAUACCGGAUAAUGUCUUCGGACCAAAGAUUUAUCGCCUUUGGAUGGGCCCGCGUAGGAUUAGCUUGUUGGUGGGGUAAUGGCCUACCAAGGCGACGAUCCUUAGCUGGUCUGAGAGGAUGAUCAGCCACACUGGGACUGAGACACGGCCCAGACUCCUACGGAGGCAGCAGUGGGGAAUAUUGGACAAUGGGCGAAAGCCUGAUCCAGCAAUGCCGCGUGAGUGAUGAAGGCCUUAGGGUUGUAAAGCUCUUUUACCAGGGAUGAUAAUGACAGUACCUGGAGAAUAAGCUCCGGCUAACUCCGUG